UGGGGAAUAUUGGACAAUGGGGGGAACCCUGAUCCAGCCAUGCCGCGUGUGUGAAGAAGGCCUUAUGGUUGUAAAGCACUUUAAGCGAGGAGGAGGGUACUGGUAUUAAUACUACCAGGUACUGGACGUUACUCGCAGAAUAAGCACCGGCUAACUCUGUGCCAGCAGCCGCGGUAAUACAGAGGGUGCGAGCGUUAAUCGGAUUUACUGGGCGUAAAGCGUGCGUAGGCGGUUAAUUGAGUCGGAUGUGAAAUCCCCGAGCUUAACUUGGGAAUUGCAUUCGAUACUGGUUAGCUAGAGUGUGGGAGAGGAUGGUAGAAUUCCAGGUGUAGCGGUGAAAUGCGUAGAGAUCUGGAGGAAUACCGAUGGCGAAGGCAGCCAUCUGGCCUAACACUGACGCUGAGGUACGAAAGCAUGGGGAGCAAACAGG
rnacentral:rRNA from 1 species